UACGGAGGGGGCUAGCGUUGUUCGGAAUUACUGGGCGUAAAGCGCACGUAGGCGGCUUUGUAAGUUAGAGGUGAAAGCCCGGAGCUCAACUCCGGAAUUGCCUUUAAGACUGCAUCGCUAGAAUUGUGGAGAGGUAAGUGGAAUUCCGAGUGUAGAGGUGAAAUUCGUAGAUAUUCGGAAGAACACCAGUGGCGAAGGCGGCUCACUGGCCCGGAACUGACGCUCAUGAGCGAAAGCGUGGGGAGCAAACAGG
rnacentral:rRNA from 1 species